CCCUAUUAGCCAGCUGCCUCUGGAGAUGAACGACCUCGUCAGCCGCCGUCCGGAAUCUCCCUUUGUACUCUUUCACUUGCCGGCGCCAGCUGGCCCGCUGCACAUCGUGGCUCAUCUCGGCGUCUUGAAGCUGCUUCUGAAGGUCGGAGACCCUCUGCGACCACUUCUGUUCAUCAUCAACCCGGGCCAAGAGCCGGGAUGAGUUUCCCUCCAGCUGGCCGAUCUUCCUCUUCGCAGCUGAUAGUUCGACCUUAAGGGCGCUGAUCCUGGCUUCUUGAGCCCAAAUUCGGUUGCUGGUGCUUUUCUUGCAUUNNN
rnacentral:lncRNA from 1 species